UGCCAGCCGCCGCGGUAAUACGAAGGGUGCUAGCGUUGUUCGGAAUUACUGGGCGUAAAGGGUGCGUAGGCGGCCUUAUAAGUGAGAUGUGAAAUACCUGGGCUCAACCUGGGAACUGCAUUUCAUACUGUAGGGCUAGAGUAAGUGAGAGGAAGAUGGAAUUGUGUGUGUAGAGGUGAAAUUCGUAGAUAUACACAAGAACACCAGUGGCGAAGGCGAUCUUCUGGCGCUUUACUGACGCUAAGGCACGAAAGCGUGGGGAGCAAACAGGAUUAGAUA
rnacentral:rRNA from 1 species